rnacentral:lncRNA from 1 species
CUGGCGUCUCCUCCGACCCAAAGGAGAGCUGUGGUGUAUGUGAGUGCGAGUGAGCGAGGCAGAGGCGGAGAAACUACGCGGUGUGGCUGCAGGUGGAGCCUUGGACCAACUGGCCAGCGCCGCUUCCUUCCACCAGGAUUCCUGGCCCCACCGCGCGCUAGGCGGAGGCUCAGCGGGGGCGACUCUGGCUGGAGCCCAGCCCUCACCUCCCCCACCCCCACAUCUGCUCUAGCUAGGAAAAAAAAAAAGAAAAAAAAAAUCCCGGACAGCAUUGCUGAGUCCUGCCAAAUCAGAAAAAUAAAUAAAAAUAGACGUAGUGCAGGAGCGAGUUACAAGAAAGGUUUUGUUCAUCGAUUUUCUUAAAUGGAAAAGUUUUAAAGGAUGAGGGUAAGUGAACGGCGAGCUUUUCUGAUUCUGAUUACUGUUAUCAAGAGGUAGAUUCCAGAAGCGAUGGACGCUCUACGUAGUUAGAUGAAUUGGAUAGAAGCCGGUGCGGUUAAAAAUACACUUGGAAGAUAAGAACACAGCUAUUAAUUACGCACAUACACACGUUAAUAAAGCAUGUGAAGUAAGCAAAUAAACUACAGUGCAGAGAAUGGCGUUUUUAACGACGGCGAUCUAUUUUAAAACUUAAUGAAGUUCACAUUUUGUGGACUGGUCUUAGAAAUAAGUAAACUUCAGAAAUAACACGCAUACAAUUCCAGUGAGAACCCAAAAGGUUUAUGGAAGAAGAAAAUCGCAACCACUUCCAAGGCGCUAUUGUUAUGAUCACAUGAAGAAUGGCAGGCACAGCCUUCUUUCACCACUUGAACUUUCAAUAGCUACAAAGUCUUGCAGUUACAGGCUUGUGCCAACUCGUCGGGCCACACCACGUUCCCCUCCCCCUGCCGCUGCGCCCCGAAAUCAACUGCGCGCCGCGGCUCUUGCUCCCCAAGGGGGCUUCGCAGAUGGUACGGAUCCUAGUCGCAACCUUUAAACAAAGUAACAUCGGGCGGCCCAGCAGUUCUCGGAGAGAUAUUUACUAGUCAUGGAGUUGGCUGAGAAAAGCAAGUGCGGAGAUCGGGGUCUCAGUCCCACUUAGGCCGAGUUUCUUUAUAUUGGAAACUGUACCUGUUCCCUAAUUGGGACUAAGACCACUAAUAAGUCCACGUUCCCUCUUUGGUCGCUUCUCUAAGUACAGACAUCUGCUUAAGAGGCUUCACGAAGAAUAAAUGCACAUGGGUCAACACCCAUUCCCCCCGCACCACUACCACCACCUGGAAAAGGGAGGAAAGUCCAUGUGAAGACACAGUGAGAAGGCAAGAAGGCAUCCAUCUGCAAGUCAGGAAAAGAGCCCUCAUCAGAAACCAAAUGUUGUGAGAACUUGAUCUUGGACUUCCCAGCCUCCAGAACUGUCUCACAUGAAGGAAGAUGUUCACCCUGAGGACAAGGCCCCUGCAUGCAUUCUCAGGACGUUCAUGUUUUCUUUACCCAUUCCCUUCCAUUCAAAUAGCUCUUGUCAGCGACCCAUUUUGUGAAUGGAGACAUUUCUGCUUUGAAGUCAUAAUUUAUCCUGCAAGAGCUGCUAAAAGAAGCACUUUUAAACUCAGAUCUGAGCGAAGGCUGGGAAUUGGUUGUUGCAAGUAGAAAAUGAGUCACAGAUGUACAAAGACAUUAGAAGGCUGCCUGCAACAUAGAAGCAAAAUGCUCCAGGAGGCUGACCUGAAUGACAUACAUCAGUGAACUCCUUUGGCCUCUGUCAGACCCACCAAAUCAGAAAAUCUUACACUCCUACAAGAAAUUCAUGCCUUGUAGGAACAUAGACCAAUACUGAGCCACUGAUUCAGCACAUCCUCUGUGGAGACCAACCAGCCACUUGGUGGCAAGAGAUUACAUUGGAACCCUCUCAUCUCAGAAGGAGCAGUGCUUCGUGUUGACUGAAUCAACAUGUGCACCAGAUACAAGACUCCCUUUUCUGCCUGGAAUAAUCUGCCAGUAUGACUCUCAAAAGGCUUAACUCACGGACAUAGGAUCCCAUGUAGCACUGCAUUGGAUUGAGAGAUAGAGAACUCAGUUAAAAACAAGGAGGUGUGGCAGUGGGCCCUUGACUAUGGUAUCCCCUGGCCUUAUCACAUCCUAUGUCACUCAGAAGUUGAGAUCUGAAAGAGUGAAAAAAAAGCUGCUUACUAGCCACUGAGGACCCAGCUUGGAGAUGAUAAGCUGUGAAGAUGGGCGCUGUUCUCCAGACAUAAUAUAUAUGUCCUAAAUCAACAACCUUUCCCUAGAGCUGUGUCCCCAGUAGAUAGCAAGUGCGAGUCUGGAAAUCAAAGAGUAGAAAUAGGCAUAGCUCGGCUUAUAUCACUUCAAGUGACCAAUGUAGGGAAUUUAUGCUUCUUACUACACUCCCAGGCUUUUGUGGUUUAGAAGUCCUAGUUUCUAAAGGGAGAACAUUUCCACCAGGAAACUCAGCAGGAGACCCAUUAAGCUUUAAGCUAUGCUUACUGAAUGUCGCUCAUGCCAAAGCCUAUCAGAAAAGGGAAAUAGCCUUCAUCCCAGCAGGAGUAAUGGGCCCUGAUGAUCAGGAGGAGGUGGGGCUGCUGUUACUCCCUGGGAUUCUCUUGGAACCCUCUUGCCUAAUUUCAACAAAAAAUGGACAAAUGCAGUGGUCAUGGCCUGAGAAAGGCUCAGAUCUUACUGUUGAAGGUGGAGGUGUCCCCAACAGGUAAGCCUCUUAGACCAUCAGAGGUGUUAGCCAAGGGUGAGGAGAAUCUAGAAUGAGUAGGGGAGGAGAGAAAUGAUGUGUGUAGUUACCUUGAAACUGCAGCAUGGGAGUUGGGGGGGUUCUGGGGCUAUAAUUCCUGUCACUGGCCUUCCUCUUGUUAAGUUUACCUAGGAAAACAGGCCAGCGAGAAUCUUGGAGGGGCUGUUCCCAAGUUUUGCUAUAAAAUGAAAGUGAAUCCAAGUGGCCUGGGGCUGAAUCUGAGUUCAUGCUGUGGGCACUGCCCAGAUGCCUUGUCAGAGCUAAGAUCAUUCUCCCAGCUACUGAGAGUGUGGGUAACCUGUGAUGCUUAGCUGAGUCCCUCUCCAGGAAUUGCCUUUAGCAAAAAAUGAGCCACCUCUCUUCACCCAGACCACACUCCCCUCCCCAGGGAAUGUACAGCCCAAUUCAGUGUGUGGUCAGUGCAGAAGCAGAAAGGCUCAAUUUGCCUGCAUCUAGUGAGACAUCUAGGAGGGUUCAUCCUACUCCCUGAACUCCCCAUGGGGUUGACUGAGGCCUUCGUCACAACUUCAUUGCAGUUCAUACCUCCCUUUGCCCCAUCCCACUUCUUUCAUUCUGCAUGGGCAUCGAUCUUGAUCGAGGCCACUCCCCAGAACACUCCCUGCCUGCAUGUCUCUCUCAGGAGUCUGCUGCCUGGGGGUUGGAUUUAAGACACAUGCUGGUCUUCCCCUAGGAGUAAUUUCCCUGUCCACACUUUUGAUCAAAUUUCCUUGAAUUAUCUUAAUUUGAGUGUGCCCUCUGAAUUUUGAUGGGAUCUGGACUGACGGGGCAGGGUAUUGGGCUAGGGACAUGACUGGCAGGUAAGUCUGCCUAAUUCUGAGGCUCAGUAUUAGUAGGACUCUUUACUGACACAUGGAAUUUGUAUUCUCAAACGUACCAAAAUCAGCUUACUAAAGAUAUUUUGGUCUCCACCUUAAUUCUUUGUUUGUUAAAAGUAAUGGCAAAAACCACAAUUCCUUUUGUACCGACCUAAUCAACUAUUCAGAACCUGAAUGGAAGCCACUCCUUGGUGGUUCCCUUAGAAACCUCAGCCCCAUCCAGAGCCCUUGUAUCAGAUUUGGAUGGAAAGGGCAUGUGUUUAGCCCGUUCAAGGGUGACUUUUAGACAGUCCUCUCUCUCUCUCUGUGUGUGUGUGUGUGUGUGUGUGUGUGUGUGUGUGUGUGUGUGUGUAGGUUCAGCCUUUUCUCACUAAGACAGUUAUUUUCACCCAUAGGCAGGCACCCUGAUGGGAGAGGCAGGAUGAAUGGAUCUCUUUGAUACUCAAAGUUUUUUAAGCCAUUGAUGUGUUAUGUGUCUAAAAUAAUAUUCUUUUUUGAAAAAUUAUUGUUUCAUGAUAUGAUUAAUAAAUUAUUUUCUUUGUUAAAUAUCGAUUAAAAAUUAUAUUAAUAAUUAUGUUAAUAAUUAAGAAUUAUAGAUAAGGAUAAAAUUCCUUUUGACUGUUACAGCAGUCCACUCCCAAGAGAAUAAACUGUUACCUUCCAGACCUUUUCAAAAUUGACAGGAUCUAUUUAAAGUCCUGUAUUUUAUUUGACCAGAAAAUUCUAUUUUUCAGAUGUUACAUUUAAGAAAACUUCUUGAAUGUACAUGACAAAGAAUGAACAAGCAUAUUUAUUGCAACAUUGUUUAUAAUAGCAAUAAAGGUAAGCAACUUAAUAGGGGACUAAAUAAAUUGUGGUAUAUUUUUACAAUGACAGAGUAUACAGUAGUAAAAACAGUGAGGUGGAGCCCUAAGUGCUAACUUGGAAAAAGCUUCAGGAAAUAUCACUGAGUGAAAAAGGAGAUUGCAGAAUGAUAAAUGUAAUGUGAUGCAUUUUAUCAGGGCUAUUUAGGAAAAUUAUGGCCUAAUAGAAAUGACCUGGGCUGAGUGAGAGGAGCAGAAAUGGGGAGAGUGAUUAUUGCCCCUCGCUUGCUUUGCCUCCUUUAGCCAUUUCUUCCUGUUCUCUCAAUCAUUCUUUCCCCUCUUUCACUCCACAUUCUUUCCUUUCUUCAUCACUUCUUUUCAUAGUUAAAAUUGAAGCCAAGUCUACCCUCUAGGAAUUGUAUGUGUUUGUGCUCAUUAACAACCAGUUGAACUCUGUUGAUUAGCAAUAUGGUCAAUCCAAACUGGUUGUUAAAGUGUCAAAAUAAAUGGAUCCAAUACCUGCACCCGGGCUCACAUGAUCUCGUUGAUGAAUAAUUAAUAUAGCCUCAAUAUGAUGCAUUAUAUGGAAACCUGCCUGCUUUGGCUACUGUGAAAGCUUAAAAAUAAACCAACCACUUGACAAAGUUACAAAAAAAUAUAUAAAAAAGAAAUUUGCAGUAUGGGUUGAAUGAAUAAUAAAUAUAUAGUGUUUGCAUUAAAGAAAGUACCAGUGGCAUUGUACUUUGUGUUAUUAUUAGAGUGUGUAGAUUAUUUGAUUUGAAGAAUUCUAGUUUAAUGACUUCCUUUUGCACUGAAGGAAAUAGUGGCCCAGGGAAGUAAGGUCGUAAAGCAGGCCUGUUCAGUGGUCUUCCGGUAACACACUUUGUAGGUAAUAGAGAUGGUCAUUCUCCUUUCCUUUCGGAA